rnacentral:rRNA from 1 species
UACGAAGGGGGCUAGCGUUGUUCGGAAUUACUGGGCGUAAAGCGCACGUAGGCGGACAUUUAAGUCAGGGGUGAAAUCCCGGGGCUCAACCCCGGAACUGCCUUUGAUACUGGGUGUCUUGAGUGUGGUAGAGGUGAGUGGAAUUGCGAGUGUAGAGGUGAAAAUUCGUAGAUAUUCGCAGGAACACCAGUGGCGAAGGCGGCUCACUGGACCACAACUGACGCUGAGGUGCGAAAAGCGUGGGG